rnacentral:rRNA from 1 species
GACGGACGCUGGCGGCGUGCUUAACACAUGCAAGUCGAACGGUGACCCAGGGCUUGCCCUGGUGAUCAGUGGCGAACGGGUGAGUAACACGUGGGCAACCUGCCCCUGACUUCGGGAUAACUCCUCGAAAGAGGAGCUAAUACCGGAUACGACCACUUCGGACAUCCGAUGGUGGUGGAAAGUUUUUCGGUCAGGGAUGGGCCCGCGGCCUAUCAGCUAGUUGGUGGGGUAAUGGCCUACCAAGGCGACGACGGGUAGCCGGCCUGAGAGGGCGACCGGCCACACUGGGACUGAGACACGGCCCAGACUCCUACGGGAGGCUGCAGUGGGGAAUAUUGCGCAAUGGGCGAAAGCCUGACGCAGCGACGCCGCGUGAGGGAUGAAGGCCUCGGUUGUAACGUCUUUCAGCAGGACGAAGCGAAAGUGACGGU